AGUACGUUUAGUGUACAAUACUGUAAAUCUACUGUGGUGUACCUACCUAAUUAGUAGUAGUAAAACACCUUAUUGAACUGAAUAAUUUAUAGUUAAAGAACUGUUUUUUCAAAAAAUUUAAGGACUGUAGUUUCGGAGACAAGAAGACUUCAGCACAGAAGUGCCGCGACAGUAUUUCACUUGUGAGAUAAAUUACCAGUCCCUCUCUAAUGAAUACCGCUUCAAAAAUACGGGUAGUCUAUUUCGCGGGCGAUAUCCUGGCGCGCCACUCCUGUUCUAGGCCGGAAGGUGGGGGAAUGGUUAUUUUUUACCCAUAUCUUAAAUAACUUCUAAACUAUUUAUCUUUAAUUUAUAAAGAGAUUCUCUUAAUGAGUCCUUUCAUUCAAUAUUUUAACACGAUAUUGUUUGCAUAACUUUUUUUUUUAUUUUUAAGAGUAAUUUAUAUACGUUUCAUGGCCGUCUUUGGGUUACAGACUUAGGUACAGUCAGCGUCAAAUACUUUGUAGCAGUCAAAGUGGCCAAAUAGUUCGGUACACCAUACUAAAUAUAUGGUGUACCGAACUAUUUGGCUACUUUGUUUGCUACAAAGUAUUUGACGCUGACUGUACUUCAAUAUCUGUACCAAAUGUUAACUGUAGUUAUUAACUGGUUAUAACCCGAAACUAUGUAUACAUAGUUUCGGGACAAAUAGGCUACAGCUGGACAGUUAGACGUAUUUAACCGAGGUACAGAAGCCUAAAAAUCGGUCAAAUGCCUCUCGGGUGAUGGAUAGUUUUCGUAUCUUCAUAAGUGUCGCACGAUAUCAGAAAGACGGCAGGACCGACCUGGAAUAGAACCGCUGCAUACAGAACAACAUGGAAAUCCAUGAAAGAGGCAUAUCUUCAGCAGUGGACGCAUAUAUUCUGAGAAGAAGAGAGAAUUUUAGCGUCGUAAAAGCCUACAAAUCUGUGCUUUUAAUUCUUUUGAAUCUCUACAAAAAAUGUUUUCUACUCAACAAUAGAUGCCGCUACAUGUCAUAAUUGUACUUAAAUAUUUACAUUUAAGAACGACGUUAUUGUGACGUUAAUGCCGUCGGUCUUACUCCAUCAUUUUAUUAAAACGUAUAUAGAUAAGUUAUAACAAAUUGUCUAUGCAUGAACAAAAAUAGAGUUGUCACCUUCUAUCAAAAAUGACAUUUUCAAUCAUUAGUGAACAAUUUGCUAAUACAGUCAUGAUAUUUUGAAUGUAUAAAUGAAAAAAAUUAAAUACCCAACCACGACUUCGUAAACAUUGUGCUAUUUAUAUUAUAACUAUAAUAAUAAUCUUGAAACGCUGUGGCUACGUUCAAGAAGUCUAGCUAAAAAUUCCGUCACUCUUCCCAUCAUCCCUGAGAAUGUUAGGCUAUAUUGAAAUUAGUUGAUGUAGAACUAGCAUGUUGACGCUGACAAUAAGAGACCGACUGAGAAUAUCGUUGAGCGCGGCGUGCCUGUUGUGUUCAAAGGCGUCGUGGCGAGGACCUCGGGUGGUCGAUCACGUCGGCGUCGACAUCAUUACCGCAGUGGCACCGAGUCGCAGGCAGAUUGCAAAGCACUAAGUGUGAUAUUCGAAGAGAGUUUCAGUGUGUACAGACGGAAGAGCGUGUAACCAGACAGCAGAUUCCUUGCUGCUAAGCGUCUGGCGUAUGCAAAACCUGUGCUGCGUGAUAUAAAUGUCGGAGAACGGCUGAAUUGUGCCAUCAAUCGCUUUUAACAAGUGUAUAAUCACGCUAUCUUUUACAAAUAGAGCAAAAUCAAUCUUCAGACGAAAAGAAGCGGGAGAAGAUGGCGUUAGUGGUGGUUCUUGGGAUCAAAUCAAACCCACUGGUUUGCUUAGGCUAAGUAAUGUAACGUGUACUAUGAUUUUGUAAUCAGUAUUGUCCAGGAAAGACUGUGAGUUGAAUAUCGUUUUUCAUUGAAAGCCCUCGUCAUACACGAUUGAAGUUUUUAUUGAAACAUUCGUCGCCAGUGGUUUGUUUUAAGUCCAGCGGGAUUUUGUUAUAUAUGCUUUUCAUUUCUCAUUCUCUGGAAGUGGGCCGUUGUUCUAAAAAGUGUACAGAAAAUGAUAAGUUUCUGCUUUAGAGCACUGUACUUUUUAAGUUCAUCUUUUUGUACGAUAAGCAAUUAAAAUUUGGUUUUAAAUGGAUUUGUGUCUCUCCAUUCCAUAAAUACCGAUAUUUUUACCGAAAUUGUUAAUUGAAAGUACGCUACUGAAGUUUAUUAUUAUUAUUAUUUAAACUUUAUACCUACCUACGUAUUAUUUUAGUUUAUACCUACUUAGCAGUAUUUUGUGAAAUGCACAAGUCUUUUAAUUUCCUCAAAUAUGAAAUGAAAAUUAAAGUGUUUAACUCGGGUGAAAAGCACCAAUUCAAAUGGGUGCCUUUCAUCUCUUGGCUCACAAUAUACUAUUUAUAAAUUGUAUAUACAGAUGUCAAUCACAAGGAAAAAACAGCAUGUGGUUAUUUAUUUAAUCUAUUGAAUCGUCUAUCGUACUGGUGUGGGACGCAACGUGUGUCGACACCUUUCCACAGUCCCACAUUGGGGCAGCCCGCAAUCAGGCCGGCGCUGCGGUUGACCAGGCCCAGAUGCUCAAGCGCCGCAAAUACUCGGCCUUACUCAAAGUCCAUGAGUUUGCGCGGCGCUCUCGGUUGAGACUUUUGGUCCCUGGUCAGCCGACAUGAAAGCAUUUAUGAGGGCACUGUUGGCGCGGCUUGUCGACACAACAGGGGACCCCAGGACUGGCGCGUACCUCUCUAAACGUAUCUUCCUUGCGAUACAGAGAGGUAACGCCGCCAGUUUCAUGGGGUCCAUGCCGCAGGCAGAUUUAUUGGACGGGGUGUUCUCUUUGUGAUUGGGUUUUUUUAUUAUUUUGUAGGUAAGUAUAUUUUUAUUUUUCCUUUGUUAUUUUCUACA